AGGAAAGACGUAACAUCAUAACAUUUUGAAGAAAGAAAACAACAAAAACGUACAAAAGUUUGGGACCACUUUAAAACUAAGCAACAAAUACGAAACAACAUUAUAGACCCCUAAGACGACGUAGGUGAAAUUACUAAUAAAGACUCUAAUACCAAAAACAACUUGACUUUGACUUAAAGCAGACACCACCCUACAAUGACAGACACAUAAAAGACUCAA
rnacentral:lncRNA from 1 species